UACGUAGGGUGCGAGCGUUAAUCGGAAUUACUGGGCGUAAAGCGUGCGCAGGCGGUUCGUUGUGUCGGUGGUGAAAGCCCCGGGCUUAACCUGGGAACUGCGUUUGAAACUGGGAGACUUGAGUGUGGCAGAGGGGGGUGGAAUUCCACGUGUAGCAGUGAAAUGCGUAGAUAUGUGGAGGAACACCGAUGGCGAAGGCAGCCCCCUGGGUUAACACUGACGCUCAUGCACGAAAGCGUGGGGAGCAAACAGG
rnacentral:rRNA from 1 species